GUUCUCAGAGGGUUCAAAAAGACGCUACUCUCUCUCCUCACUGAUCUCCCGAUGUAGAUCUCCUCCUCGAAACGAAAGAAACGAGUUGCCACGCUGAUUGAUUGCCAUGCGAGUCUCGCGUGUAUAGGAUGUAGAUUCCCUUUCCCCGCGCGUGAAGGCACGCCGCCCACGAAGGCAUCCUUUCCCUUCUCUCUUUCUUUUUAGAUUGAUGGUCGAUAAUCACGAAUAAGAGCCGCUUUGGGUCCUGAUCGAAUCGGACGCAAUCGUCGCUCGCGAUCGCGAUCCACAGCGAGGGGUCGUGAAUAAGACGCCUCGAAACAACCGACCGUGCGAAAUCGCAUUGGUGUGUGUUUUUUUUUUUUUACAUCUUUGCGCGCUUUGAACGACACGGAACGGAAACGAGAGAGAGAGAGACGGAAGCCCAAACCAGACGGGAAGUGUUCGAUUCAGGAGCGCGCAAAUCCACCACCACGUCACGGCGGGGCAAAUGUUCUCGACGAGCUUUCGCGAAAUCCCGCCGCCGAGCAACAGCAGCGCAUCUGAGAAAAAUCGCCGCCGGCUGGACACCAACGCCGGCUUACUUUCCGGUUCGUUUCCGGUGCGGCCGGACGGCACGUCAUCAUCAUCAUCAUCGUUGCCGUCCCGAUGAAGUGAGCCGCGCGCGUCAGGCCUGUUGACUUCCGAGCUGACGAUGCGUCACGUUCAACCGGCUGUGCCCGUAUCCAAGCACUUGAAACGUAUAUAUAUUAUCGAUAUAUAGUGUUCCAAACGCGCGUCCUAUCGUCGAUAUUUAAUAAUCAAUUUUAACGCGUACGCUCGCGCUGUACAAACGUUUGGAAAACGUCGGAAUUGGUCGAGAUCAAAGAGAGAUACACGUUAAAGAGAAAAUAGAAUUGAGGUCGAGAGGACGCAAACGGGCGACCAUCACGAGAGAACAAGGAUGACGACGACGACGAAUACGACGACGACGACGACGACGACGACGAUACGAUAAGCGGUGUAGUUAAAACGAUAAGGGUUGCAACACGGAUAGUGUGAUCGUCGCGCAUAACGUCAGAGAGAGAGUAGCCUUCAUAUAAAUUACCGUGUGUAUACAUACAAGGUAUAUACAGAGCGCACAAGUAUAUAAGUACGAAUAAACAUUUGUAAAUAUUGUGAUACGCAACACACGUAAUCGCGGAGCACGCGCGCGCGCGCGCGCGCGACAAGCAAUAACGAGAGAACAAUAAAAAACAAAACAAAAAAAAACGAUUACAAAAAAAAAAGCGCAUUAUUGUUAAUCGUGUUACGUCACCGUAACGGAUUUUAUCGGUGAUAUACCUGUUAUAUAUACCUGUGUUCGAAAGAGCUUUGUUAAUCGUUAAAAAAAACCGCUCUCGAGACGAGUUUUACGCUUAUUACCACCGGGAACCGUCGAAAAGACUGCGCCCAGACGACAAGAUGGCGUUUGCCGCGGCGAGGAUGAUCCUCAAGGACAAGCGCAGGAAAGCUAGCAAAGAGGACUUCGCACCGCGAAACAGAAGCAAGGCUCGCAGCGCCAGCACAAGUAGCUUUAGAAGCCUAAGCCAGGCACGCAACAAACCGGCGGACGGCGUGGGUCAUGUGAAUCAAAAAGGUGCUUCCG